rnacentral:rRNA from 1 species
GUCUGCAGCCAUACCAUCCUGAACACAUUCAACCUGUCUGAUCUCAGAAGCUAAUCAGGGUCAACCCUGGUCAGGCCUGGUUACUGGACC